rnacentral:rRNA from 1 species
UGGGGAAUAUUGCACAAUGGGCGCAAGCCUGAUGCAGCCAUGCCGCGUGUAUGAAGAAGGCCUUCGGGUUGUAAAGUACUUUCAGCGAGGAGGAAGGCGUUGUGGUUAAUAACCGCAACGAUUGACGUUACUCGCAGAAGAAGCACCGGCUAACUCCGUGCCAGCAGCCGCGGUAAUACGGAGGGUGCAAGCGUUAAUCGGAAUUACUGGGCGUAAAGCGCACGCAGGCGGUCUGUCAAGUCGGAUGUGAAAUCCCCGGGCUCAACCUGGGAACUGCAUCCGAAACUGGCAGGCCAGAGUCUUGUAGAGGGGGGUAGAAUUCCAGGUGUAGCGGUGAAAUGCGUAGAGAUCUGGAGGAAUACCGGUGGCGAAGGCGGCCCCCUGGACAAAGACUGACGCUCAGGUGCGAAAGCGUGGGGAGCAAACA